rnacentral:rRNA from 1 species
GACAGAGGUGCCAAGCGUUAGGCGGAAUCACUGGGCUUAAAGCGUGUGUAGGCGGGUCGUUAAGUACCUUGUGAAAUCCCACGGCUCAACCGUGGAACUGCUUGGUAUACUGGCGAUCUUGAGCCAGCUAGGGGCUACCGGAACAAACGGUGGAGCGGUGAAAUGCGUAGAUAUCGUUUGGAACGCCAAAGGUGAAAACAGACAGCUGGGAGUGUGCUGACGCUGAGACACGAAAGCCAGGGGAGCGAACGGG